UACGUAGGUGGCGAGCGUUGUCCGGAAUUACUGGGUGUAAAGGGCGUGUAGGCGGGAUUGUAAGUCAGAUGUGAAAUUCCAGAGCUUAACUCUGGCGCUGCAUCUGAAACUGCGAUUCUUGAGUGCUGGAGAGGAUAGUGGAAUUCCUGGUGUAGCGGUGAAAUGCGUAGAUAUCAGGAGGAACACCAGUGGCGAAGGCGGCUAUCUGGACAGUAACUGACGCUGAGGCGCGAAAGCGUGGGGAG
rnacentral:rRNA from 1 species